GGAAUGAACCCGGGCCUAUAGUAACGCCUCUGGCACUGCGAUGCGUAAGUAGCCUAGACAGCGGCGACACUCAGGAUGCAGUGCUUUAGCCUUUUAACUGCACUAUUUUCACGCAUGGCUUUGUUUGGCGGCACCUCUACUGGACUUUUAAAGGUUGUAAGACAGGUCCUGCACGUAAACCGAAGAAUCUGUGACAACGGGAUGGAAUGUGUAGGAUAACGAGCAGCAGUAGUUCCAGUGUUUGGCUGAGACUUCGCAAACUGGAGCUCCCAAUUUCUGACCAAAUUACAUGCGAUUUUAGUUCUGGUUUAACCGAGAUUAGAAUUCUCUAAGGAGUGACUGAAAUCCACACUUUGGUUUUGGUAGAAAAGUCACGGCCAAGAAACGCUUAUGUUAGCAUUUAAGGACUAAACACAUAAUUGUACUCUGAAGUUCCACAUCACACUAUUACAAAAGUGUGACUGUUCUGGAAUAACAUGUCCAAUAUAUUUUCUUAAACAUC